AUAUAUAUAUAUAUAUAUAUAUAUAUAUAUAUAUAUAUAUAUAAACGCACAGUAUUUUCAUGACCAUAAGGCGCAUGUUAUUGAAAAGUAGUCUCAGUUGCAGGUGUAAUUUCAGUAUUUAACAUAUACACAAGGCGCACCGUAUUAUUGGGCACAGGCAUGGUGGUGCUGACAAGACAGUGAGGCACAAUUAUAGAGCUUGUGAACGUGACGUCGCAGUUUGCACGGUCCCAUAUUGCCGGUCAAACCUUGCUGCUCGGUAAUGCGGAAGUCGUUGAACCAGAGCAUUCUAUAGAACACCAGCUGAAAAGGCCAGAAAAGAUCAAUUGAUUUCAGCAAUUAAAAGGGAUGGAUGGUGCCCAAUGAAAUACACAUGCCUGUGUAGCGAUCAUGUUAUUUCUGGUCAGAAUUAGUCUUUUCAAUCUCAAAUUAUCAAUAAAUAUUUAUAAUGCCAAGUUGACUCAUUGGAGAACAAUGCGUAUAAAAAACAAUAAUAAACCAUUUGUCACAGAGAAGUUUAUGGAGGUAAGCGUGUGGCAGCAAUACGCUUCCAUGUACAGAGGAGACGACUCGCUGUCCUAAAUUUGUUUUCCAAUCAUAGUUAAUGAAUGUGAUUUUGUGGAAAACCAAGGGUCAUUUCUUUAAAAAUUGGUAUUUGGACUGAAAAAAAAAAGUGGGUCAAUCACCAUGUGGGAUUUAUUUGUGAUUGAGAACAGAUUUAGCAACUAAGUAUUUCUCUGCAUCCAGAUUUUUGUAAGCUUUCAAACUCUUCUGUGUGAAUCGCGACGACUUAUUCACCAGAUACAUGCGUAUAUCCAGUUGUCGAAGACAGGGUAGCGAACAGUCAAAUUUCUUAUCAGCGAAAACAUCAACUUGACAUUAAAUAUGGAUCCUCUAUUCAAAGUUUCUCUAAUUUUUCCAUAUACCUUCAUUUAUUAUCACCUUCUAAAUGUUUAAUGGUAUUGGACAAAACUCUUUGUGUCGUGUUAUAAACAGUGUUGGGCACGAUACUUUGAAAUAGUUACUAGUUACUUCCACAAAAGUAACCGAGUUACUAAUUUAGUUACUCCACAGUAAAAGUAACUAUUGACACAAAAAAGUAACUAGCGCGUCCCCCCCAGAUACCUGCACAGAUUUGAAUUUAUUGCAACUCAUGUUUACAUUGAAGUGAACAUGUUAAUGGAUUUGUUAAAUCCAACUCUUAAAGAUAUAAUCCAGAGGACCUAUAUUUUAUUUUUGUAUCACACAAACAUGGCAAAUUUUUCAAAAAAAAUAUUUUCAAAAUUCUCAACACAAUAGCUAAGAAAUAAAUUAGCGCCAAAGUGCAAAUUUUUUUGUAAUCUCAAUGCCUCCGAUGGCUGUUUCAAGAAGAAGCAGAAGCUGCUUCCGUGUGACGUCACGUCGAGACAACCCCAGUAAAGACAAUGGCUUCCUAUAGACUGUUUUUGACCACGUGACCUUUGUUUACAAUCGCGGCCAUUUUGGUUGGGCUCACUAUCGUUUUUGCAUGCAGACUGGAGUUACUCACAUCUUCAUACGACUGUUAAAAGUGAUGCGUAAUUGCUAAAAAGAAAAGAAAGUUACUGGUGCUCAUUAGAUGUUUCAAGAAACUGUUACGACAAGAAGUGUGCUUUGCCCGACGAAAUCGACCCGUAUUCCUUGAAACACAAAUGGAGCAAUAAUUUUGAACUGUGGGCAUCGGUAACCUAUCCAGACAUCGUCAACUAUCGCCUCUUUUUGAGAAGCGCUUAGACCAUGGACCAUCUAAAGAAUUACAAAGGUCUGGAGGCCGACAACAAAUUCAUCAAUGGCUGGGUUUGUGAUGCGGCGGCAUCCAUUGUGAGACACUUGUGUCUUACACUGCGAAGGUUGGUGUAGUGCACAAUGCAAUUUAAAUAUGUAGGCUGAGGCUACUUAAUUUAUGAGUGAAUGCUGUCGAAAAUAUUCAUUCGCGUGAUUACAGUCAGCGUUGUGUUAAAUUAAAAUAACCCUAAACUAACCCGAAAUUUCUUAUACCAACGAAAGAGGUGUAGAUUAUUUUUGUUUGUUACCAAGAGAGGUUCGACUGGGACGCGUCCCAAGUGGAGCCCGCACAUGUUAAUGGACUGCUUUGUGGAAGAGAUAGCAACUGAAGAGGAGAAAUUUUCUAAUUCUUCAUGUUAGAAAAACAUCCCAUGCAGGUGUAAUUAAACCAUAUAUGUUCGAACCUGAGUUUACGAAUGCAACACAAGGACAGGAUUCGGCGACACCUGACAAAGUUGAUGUGGAACUUCGCACCUAAAACACAGACUGGCAGGUGCCUCAAGAAAUCUACAUUCACCUUGUUGAUGAAAUAAUCUAAUAAUCUAAACCUCCGAUAUCGUUCUGUGUUUAAAGAUCACGUUUGUAGCCAAUUCUUUGUGUUAUUUACAUGCAUUUAGCCCAUAUUUUAAAUAAUGCACCUCACACUUGAGGGCACACACUGCUGUAGUUGAAUUUCAGGAAGACCUCAGCGCCAAGAGUACACUAACUUUAUACAGUGUCCAAAUUUCAUCUGCUCCUAAACAACACAUGGAUACGGAUAUUAGCUGACAUAUAUAUCUGUAUCGGUAUUGUACUUACAUUUAAAACGAGGUAGAUAACUGUCAAUACUAAAAAAUUUAACACGUACAUACUUGUACCGAACCCAAGUGAACACUGUACUGGGUUUUCAAAGCAGUCCUCCGUGAAAUGCUUGGAACAUAUUACUGUCGACUUUUAUUUGUAAGUCCAAUGCGCCAGCUUUGUCUUUACAAACCUGGCCCAUAACCUGCCUAUCUGUUCAUCUUUCGGCCAAUCAUGUAAGCUGAGUCGGUCAGUGUUUGACGCAGAACAGCCCUAUACAACACAUUUCCUCACCAUCUGUGCUAGCUUUUUCACUCUAUGGCUAAAUGUUGUCGUGACUUGACGUCACAUUCCGGAGAGUACCGGAACUCGCCGAAUCUAAGUGACAUUUCGAACAAAAUCUGGAGACUGAUUUUCAUGCUAAUUUAUUUAAUUUCUGUUGUGUUGAGAAUUUUUGAAUUAUUUUAAUGAAAUUUUAGCUACAUUUGUAUGAUAGACAAAUAAAAUAAAUUUCCUCUGGAUUAGUAAUUUAACAGCAGCCGCGGAUUCAAUUUCAGAAUAAAGUCACCACCACAAAUCACAAUUCCUUGAGCUUUUUUAAUCAUUAAAUCACAGAUUUGUUGGUACAAUUCCCAUGUUGCAGCUGGGGGUGCAUAAACAUUUAUGAGUGACAUCUGUCCCUUACAACCUCCCCACAACCAUAUUAUAGCUUUCUUCCCAAUCUGAGAUUUCUGAUAUCGUUUCAAAAAUCACCCUUUUCGAUGUAAGUGUUGCGAUUCCCCCCCCCCCCCCCCCCCGGUUUGUAUCCUGUUUUAUAUGAUAAUGAAUAGACCUGUUAAAAGCCCUGUCGAAUAAGUUUAGGGUGCUAUGUAUCUGUUAAAGGUAAAGGCUAAUCCAGAGGACCUAUAUUUUAUUUAUAUAUCACAAAAACAUAGGUAAUUUUUCAUAAAUAUUUGAAAAAUUCUCAACGCAAAAGAAAUCAAAUAAAUUCGCGCCAAAGUGCAAUUUUUUUUUGUAAUUCGAAUGCCUCCGAUGUCUGUUUCAAACAGAGGCUGAAACUGCUGCUGUGUGACGUCACGCCUAAACAACCACAGUAAAGAAAAUAAAUGGCUUCCUAUUUAUCCAAUCAAUCAGGCUGCGAGUGGGAUCUAAAGGAGAUAGACAGCAGUGAUGAAGAAGUCUUAAUGGAAUGCUCCGUGGAAGAGAUGGCAACUGAAGAGGAGGAAUUUUCUUAUUCUUCCCGUGUUCGAAAAACAACCCAUGCAGGUGUAAUUCAACCAUAUAUGUUCGAACCGGAGUUGAAGAAUGUAACAAGGACAGGAUUCGGCAAGACCUAACGAAGUUGACGUGGAACUUCACACCCAAAACACAGACUGUUCAGUUUCACAACAAAGAGGCCAUAUCCCAGUGUCUCCAUGAUUGGGAGGAGACCGGUUGCUAUAAUCAGCAGUUGUUGAUGGUGUUGCACAUCGCUGCAGUGUCCGAAGGUCGGAGGUCACCAGCACUUAACCUUCGUGGAAACACUGUCGGGGGAGGGUACCCGGUUGCCAGGUCCCCAACCAGCCAGUGUUUCGCCUGGGAUAGGAUGGAGGAGACCCAGUUAAAUGUUCUCAGCAACAGUUUGUUGGGAGACAGAGUGGGAGAAGCAGAGAUUCAGGUGAGUUAUCCCCUUUACAGUCCAUCCGUGCAUAGAGUUUUUGGUAAUAUUUUUUAAAGGUUUUAUUAAUAUCCUGAAGUUUGUAUUUCAUUUCUUUUUAAUUAGGUCUUUAAUUUUGUAUAUUUCCCUUUCUACUUGUUGUUUUCUGAUCCUAUAUGCCAAAAUUUUGGCUGCUUUACUACCUACUUCGUAAUUCUAGUUUAUUCAGUUUUUGUUGUUUGAACUUCUUGUUAAGUGCCAGUUUAGCAAUGAUCUUCCCUCUCAAGACAGUUUAUCUGCAUCCUAAAUCAUGAGAGGGGAGACUUCCCGAUUAUCAUUCUCUGACAGGUAUAAUUUGAUGUCUUCCCAGAGUUCUUCUUUCAUGUUUCCUUUAAAUACAUUAAAAUUAAGCUUCCAAGAAAAAAGGUUUUUACUGUUUUUUAAAUUUAAGUCCAAAUAGGGUUGUGGUCUGAAAGUAACACAAAUCUUAUAGUGAUGGUGAUUUUUUUUUUUUUUAAUUGUAAUUUUCUAUUUAAUAUUUUUCCCCCGAUCGCCAUCACCUAGCCUCUUUACCAUAAGCAAUUCUUUAUCCCAGUAAAAUAAAAUUUACCGGUCAGUCCGUCUGAAGAUGUUCAGCUUCUUUUUAAAACCUCUGUGGCUUCUCGGCUUGUGGCGUCCGUUCUCUCAGGAUUUGAGGUCUGCUCCACAUCAAGUUGUUGACUGUCAGCCCAACUUACCGGAGGUUGAUAUAUCGCCACAGACAUACCUCUCCUUCACCAUGUCUUUCGUAGCCUCCUCUGCUGAGUUGUACGCGCAUGUUUCUCCCCCGUCGAACACCCUCAUUCUUGUUGGGAAAGGAGUUUGGAACUGGAUAUUGUUCUCCUGAAGCACCCUCCUCACCCUCUGCGUACUCCCAGCGCUUCCUGAGAAUCUCCGGUGCAUAAUCAUGGCCCACGAACACUUUUGUACCUUGAUGUAAAAGUCUUCUUUUUCAUCACACUUGUUUCAAGAUUUCCCAUUUAGUUUUGCUGCUUGAGAAUUUCACGACAAUAGAUCUCGGUGGUGCAUCUGGCGGGGGUUUUGGUCACGGCGCGUGGUGAGCGCGUUCGAUCCUCAUAUCUCUGGGUUGUGGCAAAUGCAAGUGUUCUUUCAAAAGAUUCUCCACCAACAUCAUUGUCGAUCAAGAAUUGUUCUCCGACCCCUCUGCUACGCCAUGAAUUCUUAUAUUUUGCCGUCUUGCUCUUCCCUCUUGUCAAUUAGUUUGUCUUGCAACUUAAACUGUGACUUUAGCAGCUCCCUCAUAGCUUCCUCGAGUCCUUGCACUCGUUCCUCUGGAGUUGUGAUUCUCUCUUCGGCUUCAGUUGUUUGUGACCUUAAUGUCCUCUUGUAUUCGCCAUAGAGUUUCCGCACUUUCGUGCCAAAACUCUUAGUUCUUGCAGUAUGAUUAGCAAGUUAGCCACACCUCCAUGUCUUUGUAGCAUUAGCUCCUCCGGCUCCGAGAGACUAGCAUUUGCUACAUCGUCAUUGACUGAUUCUUCCUCAGCUUCUGUCAUCUGUGGGACAACUUUCUUCUUUCGUUUGGGCAUAAUAUAAGCGCCUCUUUGUCUUCUUUAAUUCACGUGUGGAGUUAAAAUUCAAAGUAUAUGCCGUUUGUAAACCAAAACUUAAAACAGGACAGGGAGCUCUGUUAUUUUGCGGUCUACAGCACAGCUGCUCACCUGGAAGUCCUAACACUUUUGUUUUUGCUCAGAUUUUUCAUCCAUUAUUGCUUGUUUAAAGCCCGGGUGUCAUCCCGAUAAACAUUCUAAAAUAGAUAUUGUAAUGAAAAAUACAUAUAACACGAUUCACUUCAAUGUCUAUACGAAGAAAAAAAGUGAGCGGAGAGCGCAUCAUCCAGGCACAAAGUUGCGCAAUUGAGUGUCCCUCAACAUCCAAGUGGUCGCCAUAUUAGUUGCGUCAUCUGUCCUUGACGUCAUGGUCACUUCCGCCGUUGAAAACACGCAGUGCCUGCUACUACGGAAGCCGAACAACAGAGAUAUUUGCAUUUUUCCGACACCCCCUCUGACACCGAAGUUCUUUUCAAAAAGGACAACACCACACAACGGAGUGAAGUUACCGGGGCAAUAUUGCAUUAUUGUUUCGAGCCCUCAGGGCAUUAUUACACUAUUGUUUCGAGCCAUAUUCAGAUGAUAUCCGAUCCACUCCCGCGACCGAGAUGAGCCAUCGCGGCUCAUCGCAGCCGGCCGGUGUGGCUUAUGACAGAGCCGAGUGGUGCUGCUUUUGUCACAGUCGAGCCGGGGCGCUUUAUGCGAGCACGCGAUUGAGUCACGCAUUCUCGGCUGGGUUCUUCAGAGCCGCCCCCGUCGCAAAGCCCGACGUGCAGCCUUUGCAGAAGCUGUGACCGCCGAACGGGGUGCCUCAGCCAAUGUGGCUGAGUUUCGGAGCCCGUGGUGGCAUAUAAGGAGGAGGUGGUGUCAUGAUCCUGCCGCUCCAGCACGAGCUGUGCGGGUGUCCGCGCAGGUGCGCUGAUUGGAAGGUGCACACCUGCGCCUCAUGCAGCCUGAUUAUGCUGUGGAUUUAUAUGACCGCGAUGACAACUGGUCGGGGCCAGUUCGUAUGAUCUUCAUGUUCCAUUCGUGUGCUCCGGUAUCCCUGAUUGAACCUGUGUGUACCGACCUUUGUCCAUUCUCCGACCAACCUUGUAAGCCUGACUCCUUUGAUACUUCUGCCUGCAUUGAUUGUUCUCCCAUGUACCGACUCCUGCCUGUCCGCUCAUCUGCACUGGACUGCCUGCUCGAUCCCCUACCUCUGCAUAUAAUAAACCUGUCUCUUUUUGAACUACCUUGUGUCUUCCGAGUUCCUGCAUUUGGGUCCUACUCUCGUUUCCGAUGGGACGUGACAGGUGGAGCCUAGCUAUGUUGCUUUUAGGGGUAUGUUCAAAGUCGCCGCAGUACUCGAUGAACACUAUCGAGACAUUGUUGGCUGGGCGACGCGCACAUCGACAAAUUUCAUACGCAGAUCUUUUGUUACGUUAUGAGAGAGACCGAUUAUGUGGUCCGCCCCACACUAUUAUUUUUUUUAGUACCUGUAUGCGCACAUCUACACAUUUCAUACGCGGAUCUUUUGCUACGUUAUGAGAGAGACCAAUUACAUGGUCCGCCUCAAACUAUUUUUUUGGGGGGGAGCUGUAUACACACCUACUUGUUAUUUGGAACCCACAAAGCUCUCGUCCUCUGCACCCGUGCAAUCCAUUUUUCACAACGAACAGGGUCUCUUUCAAAUUUAUGAAGGGUAAUUCCAUUCUCCCGAGUGUUCAAGCAAAGUCCAGCAAUGCAAUGAGCCGGCAUUUUGGCUAGCACGAAGGAACAACGAGCUACCUUUCCGGAGGUAAAACUAAUGGAAACAAACGAGUCCACUAGGGGGCGCCUCUGUCCUGUACCUCACUUUGUGCUUCUUUUCAAAAACAAAUCCCUUGAGAGGAUUUUCAUGGCGGGAAUUACAAAAAGCUGUACACGUCAAAAUCAUGUUUUGUGGUGAAAAAACACAUGGGACCAUAUUGGCUGUGGGGUUUUCAUUAAUAACAUACCAAAAAUCAUGCGUUUGACGACACUUGCACUUUAAAGUUAUUCAGCACUUUUGUUAAUAAAAAAAAAACGUUUAUGGGUGCCGAGUCACCACAGAUAUGGCAAUGCACUCCCAGCCUAGCCUACUCUACUACUAAAGCAUAUAUUUUAAGCAAAAAAAAAAAAUCUAUUUCUUAAAUUAUUUAAUUAUAUAAAGUAUUUAAACAAUAGAUGUAUUUCUACUACGCUGUUUACUAUCAGGAAAAGCUAAAACAAAAGGCUUUAAAAAAGCCAAUUUUUUUAGUCUUGGAAUGCAUUUCUUUUUUCAUUAAUUCUAAUGGAAAUUGAUUCAGAUUUCUAACAAAUCAGGUUACGAACCGCCUUCUGGAAUGGAUUGUGGUCGAGAACAGAGUUUGUACUAUAUAACAGUGGUCUGGAGAGUUAUUUUCCCUCAUUGGACAUUUUAGAAGCUUAUGUUAAGGGAGUUCGUGGUUAAGUUUAGCUGUGUUAAAAUCUCCAAGGAUAAUGACCAGUGAAUCUGGAUGUUCUCAAUCUUGUUUACCUGCUCGGUAAGGGUUAGCAGUGCUGCGUUCAUGCUACCUUGGGGUGGAAUCUGAACACCUACGAGAAUGAAAGUGGGGAAUUCAUGUGGCGAGUAAAAUGGCUUUCACUUCAAGAACGAAUCCAAACGCUGGCUGCAUUUCUCAUUGACAUAGAAGCAAAUUCCAUCGCCUGGAGUUCAUCCAUUUUGUUGGCUGGGGACCAUAGAUUUGUGAGAUGAAUCGAUGUAAGUGCCAGUUGGUGUCCCCCCUUUCGUUGUUGAACUUGUGUACCGACUCACAAGUCUCUGCAACGCUUUGUAGCUACCCAGAGAUAAGAAAUGGAUAUACCAUACCAAAAGAUGCAAACCACUCCUCAGCAAAAACAAUCAUGAGCCAGAUUGGAUAUAUAAAAGCCAAAAAAGUUUGGGAACAAAGUUUUAUGGACUCAUGAGACCAAGAUUAACCUCUCACAAAGUGAUGAAAAGGCCAAAGUAUGGAGAAAGAAAGGAUUCACUUACGAUCCAAAAAACAUGAGGUCCUCUGUGCAACAUAGCGGAGGUUAUGACAUGGUUUGGGCUUACAUGACUGCUUUUGGAAUGGGCUCACUAGACUUUGUUGACAAUGUACGCAUUACUGUAGCAGCAGAAUGAAUUCCAAAGUCUACCAAACCAUUUUAUUAUGUAAUUUACAGAAAAAUGCAUUCCAACUAUGUCAGGAAAAAGUAGGUAGUCUUAAGACUGACCAAGUCCAUCAUCAAAGUUUAAAACAGAGAAAGCAUUUUACUUUCUGAAAAGAUGACAGAAGGGAGAAAUCUCCAGAAAAAAAAACAACCUGCAGUUAAGGCCAGGAAAAGAAUUUCAAUUAAAGAAUGAAAAUCUGGUGAAGUCAGCAGCUCACUGGUUUGAUGCAAAUAUUCAUGUAACAAUGACACCAAAUAUUGAAUUAUUUUAAGUUAAUUUAAUGUCUGUUCCUUUGCUCACUUAAAAAGUGUGUGGCUUCAAACAAAAGGUGCUCUGUCCUGAGUUCAUUAAGAGCUGAAAUUCUGACCUCUGGGCAAUGAAUCUUUUAAUCUGAAACCUAAAUGUCUUCAGUGUACAAAAA